UACGGGGGGGGCAAGCGUUGUUCGGAAUUACUGGGCGUAAAGGGCUCGUAGGCGGCCAACUAAGUCAGACGUGAAACCCCUCGGCUUAACCGGGGAACUGCAUCUGAUACUGGAUGGCUUGAGUUUGGGAGAGGGAUGCGGAAUUCCAGGUGUAGCGGUGAAAUGCGUAGAUAUCUGGAGGAACACCGGUGGCGAAGGCGGCAUCCUGGACCAACACUGACGCUGAGGAGCGAAAGCCAGGGGAGCAAACGGG
rnacentral:rRNA from 1 species